CAGCAACUAGGAUGGGAGAAGGCAGGAGUGGCCAGAUGCCCCACAGGGCACAUGCCCAGUCUCCCUCCUCGUCAUCCCAUCUCACCUGCAUCGGGUGGGCCAUCUGUCUUUGGAGCCUCCUGUGAGUAGAGAAGGGCAUUUACCACCUCCAAGACACCAGCAUGAACGUGUGCCCUGUAAGCAGUGAUCUCCUUCAGAAGACCCACCUGCCUCCCUCUCCCGGAGAAGCCACCCUCCCCUCUGACCAGGUCUCUCACCUUUCCUCCUUCUCCAAGCCCCAGAUAAUAGAAGAAGGGCCCCAGCCACAGCAGCACUGAGAGGACAACUAUGCAGGAGAAGAGGCCUGCCAGCUAGAAAGGAGGAGGGAUGGAAGCCGAGAAGCAAAGGGAUCUCAUGCACCACUGUGAGGGAGCUGGCCGCCCUGCCCACUUUACCUUGCCUUCCCUGGAACUCUCCCUCCUUCCAAAUCCCUGUCCAUGAAGAUAUUCCUCAGUCUUCCACUCUCUUCUUGCUACUUUGCAUCUCACAUCUACUUUUCCCCUCUCCCAAUUAAAUGCCUCUCAUUUGCCGGUCUCUA